UUUUUUUAUAUACAGACUAAAACUUUUUCCGAUUUUGUUCUUUUGUGUUUUUAGUUCGGCGCCGUAAAAAUGCGUGCCAAGCUUGGCAAAAUUUUAUGGCUGUGCAUGGGUAGUAGAUGUAAACAAUACGCACCAGACCAUUUUCAGUAGUGUCUACAUUUACUCUGCGCCCAACCUUUGAAGCCGAUGUUUGAAGAAAGCUUAUCCUUUCACGCUUUCAGUGCUAUACGAAGUUUAUUGAAAACGGAUAUAUAAUAACGGAGCUACACACCAUUUGACGCUCUUCAUAUCGUCAUUAUUCCCUAAGGAACACAAUACGCCCAACAGAAGGAUGGACGAAUGGUCGACUAAUGCCACAUCAGCGUCAGACUUGUUCAGCAAUGUGCCUGAAGUUUUAAAUAAAUAGUUAUUUAUGGAUGAGGUAAUAGACAAAUAUACCAAUCAUCAGUAGGGAGAGUAAGCAGAAGCCACAUAUGACUGAAUGCAAUAAUAACAUUAGUUCUUGUGUUUUCAAAUAAACUUUAUGUUUUUCAUCAAA
rnacentral:lncRNA from 1 species